GUUUUCUCUGUUAUAAAAACCCACCUGCCCAGCAUUUAUAGAUAAUUUUAGGAGUUCGUUUUUUAUGAGGUUGUGAAUUUAGUUAGCAUUACUGUGGCGAGGGAAGCAUUGAUCUUGAUUAGCUUCUGUGUUUGGCGUGCUUAAUUUGCUAGGGAGAAAUUACCAAAGUACAUGGAGAUAUGUUAACCUGUAAUUUCUGUGGUAAGGUAGUUCAGUCAUCAAGGGGCUACGUGCUUCAUUGUAAACUGCAUCGGAAUGAGCCACGUUGUUUCUUUCGUUGUAUUGAAGCAGACUGCAAGCAGACAUACACCAGGUACGGCGCGUUUAAGGCUCAUUUUUACCGAAGACACUCUGCCCCUACCCAUGUCACUGGUGUGGCGGUGGUUUCUGCGUUUACAUGUGCAAUGGCGAUGUGUGAACGUCAGUGUCAAAACUCUAAAGAGUUAAUAGCUCAUCUGAAGAGCCAUAUUGUGGAAGGACACGUGGUCACUUGUCCAGUAAGAGGAUGCACAAAUAACUUUAGAGUUAAAUCAUCUUUUACUGCCCACAUGUCACGUAAACACAGAGAGUUUUCAGACAGCAGCAUUGGUGAUUUAUAUAGAGAGUCUGCAUGUCAAUCAUCAUCUGUUCCAACCACAUCAGAUGACUUUGUACCCUUGAUUUCUGAGCCUGCUGCACAGUCUAUUACAGAUGAAGAUAACACGGAAAUGUCCCCUGAAUUCUGUGAUCUUUUUCUGAGAAACGUUUCACAAUUCUACUUAAAAUUGCAGGGUCAGUUUCUACUGCCUGCUUCAACCAUACAGAACAUUGUGGAGGAAAUGCAGAACAUACAUGAGUUGGGACAGACAUACAUUUUGGGUAAACUUGCAUCACUAUUAAAAGAUGACACAUCAUUAUCAGAGGAGGACAUCAACAAAGUCUGCGAGUCUGUCAAAAGCUAUGAUCUGUUUUCUGCAUGUCAUACCGGGCCAUUGAGGACAGUGUACUCCAGAGCUCAGACCUUUAAAAAAGCCUUCAACUAUGUGGAACCAAAGAAAAUAUUUUUAGGGAGAGAUGAAAACAGAAAAGAUAGGUUUGCCUAUUAUGUGCCUUUAAGAGAGACUUUGAGAUGUCUGCUAGAGUCUGAUCUGUGGCAGAAAUCAGAAGAGCCCUCUACUGAGCCUCCUGCUGAUGUUCUGUGUGACAUAAGUGAUAGUAAGCUGUUUAAAUCAAAUGAUUUUUUUGGUCAAAACCCAUCGUGCCUCAAGCUAGUACUCUACCAGGAUGCCUUUGAAGUCGUUAACCCUUUAGGCUCUGCAAGGACAAAACACAAGGUAUUAGCUGUAUAUGCAUCAGUGGCAAACUUGCCACUUCAUGUACGCUCAGACACAGACCACAUGUCUCUUGUCUUACUGUGCAGGGAGAAAGAUUUUAAAGAGUUUGGUCAUGAUAAUGUGUUCUCUGAAUUACUAGCAGACUUGAAAGAAUUGGAGGACAGUGGGAUUGUUGCAUCAGAUGAAACUAGAGUCAAAGGAACUUUGUUUUGCAUUGCUGGUGAUAAUCUGGGUUCUCACUGUAUUGGUGGCUUCACUGAAAAUUUUAGUUCUUCAAAGUACUUCUGCAGGUACUGCCUGAUAACGAAAUCUGAAUUUCAGGGUGCUGACCCAAAUCUGUGUGGACCAGAACGUACCAAAGAGAACUACAACUCUGCUGUUGAUCGCCUCCAGAUUGACAAUACACCAGACGUCGAAGGAGUGAAGUUCAGGUCAGUGUUCAAUUCACUCAAAUACUUCAACGUUUGUAUGCCAGGCUUGCCACCAUGUCUAGGUCACGAUAUCUUUGAGGGAGUUUUGGCUUAUGAUGUGGCACUGUAUCUGAAGUACUUCAUAAAGAAAAAAGCAUGGUUCACUUACUCCACUCUGAACCGACGCAUCAAACAGUUUAGUUACCAUGCCUCUGAUGCUUCUACAAAGCCAUCUGAGGUCAGCCCUCAAGCAGCUAAACUCUCAGGACAGGCUGUACAGAACUGGAAC
ensembl:lncRNA